rnacentral:rRNA from 1 species
CUUCCAUCUGGAAGAAUCUGGAGACAGGUGCUGCAUGGCUGUCGUCAGCUCGUGUCGUGAGAUGUUGGGUUAAGUCCCGCAACGAGCGCAACCCUUGCCUUUAGUUGCCAGCAGUUCGGCUGGGCACUCUAAAGGGACUGCCGGUGUUAAACCGGAGGAAGGUGGGGGAUGACGUCAAGUCCUCAUGGCCUUUAUGACCAGGGCUACACACGUACUACAAUGGCCGAUACAAAGGGCAGCGACACUGCGAGGUGAAGCCAAUCCCGUAAAAUCGGUCUCAGUCCGGAUUGGAGUCUGCAACUCGACUCCAUGAAGUUGGAAUCGCUAGUAAUCGUGGAUCAGCAUGCCACGGUGAAUACGUUCCCGGGCCUU